GUAUAAAGAUUUAUUUAAAUAGUUUUUUUUUUUUUUUUGAUGGAAGUAUACUUGUUUUUAGUAUUGGUUGAAUAAAUUAUUUUUAUUAUAGUUAAUUGUACUGUGAGGGAACAUUUUAGAUAUUUAUAAGAAGAUUUAAUUUAUUGUACCUUGUGUCUCAGGGUUGAUUAAUUUAUAAUUAAAUAUUUAGUUUUCCCGAAUUUAUAAGAGCUAAUUUGAUAUUUAUUUUAUUGUAAAAUUAAUAUUUAAAAUAUCAUAUUAGUAGUGAAACGUUAUUCGUUUAUAAAUAUAUCUGGUUUCUUAAGAAAAAAAUUCAAUUUUGCUUAAGUUAAUUUAAUUUUACUUUUUUUUUAGUUGGUUAAUUAAUUUUAGUACUAGUUAAGGGGAUAAGCUUUUAACUAUAAUACUAAAAAUUUUUUUUUAAUAGGUGAUUUAUAGGAUUAGAAUUUUCCAUUUUUGUAGAGGAUGUUAUAAUUAUUUACUUUAAUAUUAAUAUUUAUAUUAUUUUUAGGUUUUAUAUUAGGAAUUAAAAUUUAAUUGGUUUAUUUUAGUUAUAAUGAUUAAAUUAGUAUAAUUUUGUAUAUUUUUAUAUAUUUUCUUUAGGUAAUGGUAAGGAAUUCGGCAAAUUGAAUUUUCACCUGUUUAAUAAAAACAUGUCCUUUUGAGUAUAAUUUAAGGUCUUGCCUGCCCAGUGAUUAAUUUAACGGCCGCAGUAUUUUGACUGUGCAAAGGUAGCAUAAUCAUUAGUUUCUUAAUUAGAAGCUGGAAUGAAAGGUUUGAUGAAAAAUUGACUGUCUCACUAUUAUUGAUUUAGAAUUUUAUUUUUAAGUGAAAAAGCUUAAAUUUUAUAUAAAGACGAGAAGACCCUAUAGAGUUUUAUUUUUAAAUCUAAUUUUGUUUUAGGAUUUUUUAUGGAGUUGGGGUAUAAAAUUUUGUUGGGGUGAUAUAAAAAUUAUAUAAACUUUUUAUUUUUUUUUACAUUGAUUUAUGAAUUGAUGAUCCUUGAAUUUGGAUUAUAAGAAUAAAUUACCUUAGGGAUAACAGCGUAAUUUUUUUUGAAAGUUCUUAUUAAUAAAAAAGUUUGCGACCUCGAUGUUGGAUUAAAAUUUAAUUUUGGUGUAGAAGCUAAAGUGUUUAGGUCUGUUCGACCUUUAAAAUUUUACAUGAUCUGAGUUUAGACCGGCGUGAGCCAGGUUAGAUUCUAUCUUUUAUUUAAUUUAUUGCCUUAGUACGAAAGGACCAGGUAGUAUAAUAAUAUUAAUUAUUUUGAAUAUUAGU
rnacentral:rRNA from 1 species